GACGAACGCUGGCGGCGCGCUUAAUACAUGCAAGUCGAGCGAGAACCAGGCCUUCGGGCCUGGGGAUAGCGGCGAACGGGUGAGUAACACGUGGGUAAUCUGCCCUCGGCACUGGGAUAGCCCGGGGAAACCCGGAUUAAUACCGGAUAGCCUUUCGAGCCUUCGGGCUCGUCAGAAAAGGUGGCUUCGGCUUCCGGCUGAGGAUGAGCCCGCGGCGGAUUAGCUAGUUGGUGAGGUAACGGCUCACCAAGGCGACGAUGCGUAGCCGACCUGAGAGGGUGAUCGGCCACAUUGGGACUGAGACACGGCCCAGACUCCUACGGGAGGCAGUAGUGGGGAAUAUUGCACAAUGGGGGAAACCCUGAUGCAGCAACGCCGCGUGAGUGAUGACGGUCUUCGGAUUGUAAAACUCUGUCUUCAGGGACGAUAAUGACGGUACCUGAGGAGGAAGCCACGGCUAACUACGUGCCAGCCGCCGCCGUAAUAC
rnacentral:rRNA from 1 species